rnacentral:lncRNA from 1 species
CGACAAGGGUUGAAUCUCAGUGGAUCGUGGCAGCAAGGCCACUCUGCCACUUACAAUACCCCGUCGCGUAUUUAAGUCGUCUGCAAAGGAUUCUACCCGCCGCCCAGUGGGGAAUAGCGCUUCAAGGCGUCCCGCGAGGCUCGUCCACCCCGCGGGGGUCACCAACGGCACGUGCCUCUGGGGGGCCGAGGCCCCCUACUGCUGGUCGGCAAACGGGCGACGGGCACACGCAUCGCUUCUAGCCCGGAUUCUGACUUAGAGGCGUUCAGUCAUAAUCCAACGCACGGUAGCUUCGCGCCACUGGCUUUUCAACCAAGCGCGAUGACCAAUUGUGCUACGGGUCUAAUUCAUCUACCACUCGAAUAAGGGACUGCGUGUCCAUCGUGGAUUUUCGUUGCACCAAUUCGACUAAUCGCACACACGAGUUGCUAACCCUCGUUGGUUGUACGAACUAGACCUCAAAAAGAUGGAGGCUCCGCAACACUUGAAGCCUCGGCACGUCCGACCAAUGCUCGCAACUACCGAACUCGGCACUGUGUGACGAAGCCGGCACCUCGACAACAGGGACUCACGCAUCAAGAAAUACGAGUUGGUCUGCGAGGAACUGUCGAAGCCCUUGAUGCAUCCCCGAUAAGUCCUACGUGCCCAGACAACACCAAGCCAAAGCACCAGCCUGCACCUGGCUGCGUGCGACCAGGAUUCGGCAUGGAAGACGACUCGAUCGAAUUGCCCACAACGCCAUAGAAAAAUGCACCAGCGUGCAUGGGACAGCUUGCUGGGGCGCUGGGGGGAGCCCCAUGGCAUGCCAUCCUGACCCACCAAGGUGCAUGGGAAGGCAGGCAGCUUCCCCCCUAUAGUAGGCUAAUAUGGAAAAACCCACUCUGCACCACCGGACAUCCUUUUCUCUAGGGAGACAUACUGGGUUUUCUUUAGGCUAGAGAUCGAAUUUUGCCCUGAUAUUUUGGACACGUGCUUAUAAAAAUGGGAGCAGGUGGUCCGCGAAGUUUCACGAUUUUUCUCCUAGCCGAUAAUUUUUCGUGAUUUUUCUAAGCGGCGAGCAUUACAUAAUUCCCGAAAAUUAGAAAAUGAGUGUGUACCAUGUUUUUUGAGCUGUUCUUUUGCAGGAGUGCUUGUAAUAUCAUUCCUCAACAUUUCCCAAAGUUACGCCCAUGUAACAUCGAGGCAUCUCCCUCAAACGAUUUUCCACCAAAGUGCGGCACACGCCCUGGUGCCAUGACGGGCAACAUCGCCUAGGAGUUGAAUUCCGACUUGAGACUUUGCAGGCAACCAUGGCUAAACAAUUACGGGUUCCCCUCCAAAUAUGGAGGCAUUUCAUGAAGGGGCCGGCGUCUUACGAUGCUUUCACCGGAAUAGGGAAUGCGAGAUGAGCAAGAAUCCCACGCGAGGCACGGGUCAUGGCAUGGGUCACUUUCACCGAGCACUCGGACCAUGUGCCAUGGCAUGGGUCACCUUCACCUAGCACUCGGAACUUGUGCCACGGAAUGGGUCACUUUCACCUAGCACUCGGGACGUGUGCCACGGAACGGGUCACUUUCACCUAGCACUCGGAAAGUGUGUAAUGGCCUCAAUUUCACCUAGUAGCACUCGGACACAUGUGUCAUGGCCUCUCUUUCACCUUGCACUCAGGAUCACGUACGAGGAAUCACACCAUGCACAAAGCACCCCAACCACCAGACACCAUGAACAACACACAAGGCACCAUGGGGCAUGGCUAGAGGCGAUGCUGCACUCCACAUUGUAAGUGACUUUGUCUCUACCGUGUGCUUGCGGAACGCGGACUUUGCACCUACUCGCCCGUACGAGGUGCGGGUUCGUAACCCCCGUAGGGUGUACGACCUAGCUCGGAAGAAGGUUUGAGAUGGGAGGGACGAAUCGAAGCGACAAGGGCUGAAUCUCAGUGGAUCGUGGCAGCAAGGCCACUCUGCCACUUAUUCUGCCACUUACAAUACCUCGUCGCAUAUUUAAGUCGUCUGCAAAGGAUUCUACUCGCUGCCCAGUGGGAAAUAGCGCUUCAAGGCGUCCCGUGAGGCUCGUCCACCCCGCGUGGGUCACCAACGGCACGUGCCUCUGGGGGCCGAGGCCCCCUACUGCUGGUCGGCAAACAGGCGACGGGCACACGCAUCGCUUCUAGCUCGGAUUUUGACUUAGAGGCGUUCAGUCAGAAUCCAACGCACGGUAACUUCGUGCCACUGGCUUUUCAACCAAGCGCGAUGACCAAUUGUGCGAAUAAACGGUUCCUCUCGUACUAGGUUGAAUUACUAUUGCGACACUGUCAUCAGUAGGGUAAAACUAACCUGUCUCAUGACGGUCUA